GAGACAAGCAUAUGACUACUGGCAGGAUCAACCAGGUAGCAAUCCAUGUCGACUUUUGGCACUGCAUGGACGAAGUCAAAACAACACCAAUUGUCAUUCGCACACGGCGUGGAACGCUUUGUUAGGGGCAAAUAGAGACCGGUGAUGCCUCGUACCCACGAGGUACUCCAUGACCGAAAGAACAAGCGCGGUGUCAUUGAUCCAACAACCAAAGAACAUUGAAGCGAUGGGUGUUGGAGCAUGACAUUUGCUUCCAAGUUCACCUCGUACCACAAACCAAAGGGCUCGCAGUGAAAGGAGAAAGGGUCAUUAAUCCAACGAAUUCCCAUUCUUUGGGUAUAGAACAUAGGAAACCAAGCUCGGCCAAGAUGUUUUUCCUUCUCUUGGACCGAUUACUGAAAAAGCAUGCCGGAUAUAUUUUCGUUGCGCAAGCAAGGACUCAACAUACCCAUACACACCAGCCACCACUCACGCGCUC
rnacentral:misc_RNA from 1 species